rnacentral:lncRNA from 1 species
CUUUCUUUAAAAUUCUCCAACUCAUGAAACAAUAUUUAUUAUUUGAGGCAUUGAUUCAUCAUAUUAGCUGCAUCUUAUUAUAUCUAAAAUUAUGAUGAACCCCAAAGAUUAGGAUAAUGAUUUUAGGAGAUAUAAAUUGGUCAUGCUAGUGAGACCUAAAAUCCUAAUAUUAAAUAUUUCUGAUCGUAGGAGCAUUGAGUCAGGGAUCAAUAUUUCAGAUAGACUGACACAUCUUAUGCAUGCUUAAUAGAGAGGGUGGC